GCGAGUGGUGGUGAGGAGGGGAAACAGGCUGAGUAACAGGGGACCACGAGGCCACAGUCUCUGUUGACCUUCUUCCUCUAUUGCUUCCAG
rnacentral:miRNA from 1 species